rnacentral:lncRNA from 1 species
CAGGUGAUCUGCCCACCUCGACCUCCCAAAGUGCUGGGAUUACAGGCGUGAGCCACCGCGCCCGGCCAGCAUAUAUACUUUUAAAACAAGAGCUUAAAAAUUUGGGGAUGGAAAUAAACAAGAGAAUGAGAUAGAAAAGGCCGGAAGAGAUAGGAAAUGCUGUAGGAACACUUAAGGAUUGUGGCUAAAAAAGCUGUGAUAUGAAGUCAGGGCGUCAGUUCACUUGAGGGAGGAACUUUUUGUGUGUAACUCCCAGCCCUGCCACUUGCUGCCAUGUGCCUACCAUGAUGGGUUGUGUGGGUGAACUUAGGUAGCACAUGGCAUUGGCGACACCCAGCCACACAGAUCUAGGAGCUGCCAUUCACGUCCUCAUCGCUGCAAAUGCAGUGUGCACCCUGUGCAGGACACCUUGCAGCCCAGGAUGACACAAAGUGGAUGCUAGAUAAACAUUAGCGGCAAUCAGUGACACUGUAUGAAACUCCCCAUCAUGGUGGAAACUUGUACUGAGAAAAGAUGGCCACUUCUCAGGGUCAUUGUAGCAAACAGCAAAGGUAGAGGCUUGAAUGUGAUGUCCUUGGAGUGGCCAUCCCAUGAUAACUUAUAAAUCUUUUAUUUUAUCACUGUUAUUACCCCUUCUACCAUAUUCCCUAUUUCUAACUCAUUGUCCCUUCUUUCUUUCCUGUUAAAACCUUUCUGCCCUUGAGCAAAGCAAAGGUAAGUUCUCACUUGUUUUCCCACUUAGUUCUAUGUCAACCAAGACCUGUUUGUUUCUGCCAGUAAGUUACUUCCUAGGGCCUGUGAAAUAACGUGGACUUUGAGUGUGGCUCUUUUGACAGAGCAAUAGCACCACCUGCUACCACCUACUAGAAAUGUCGUCUUGUAGAACAAAGAAAUACGCACGCCCUGCUGUUCUGCAAUCAGGCUCUGACAGAAGCUUUCAGGUGUGGUGCUUACAAGAUCAGACUCAUUGACUCACUCACUUCUCCCUGCUCCGUCACUACACUCCCAGGACAAGAUAUUUUGCUUAACAAAUAAUGACUACAUCCAACCAGAUAAGGAUACAAACAAGCACAUUCUUCCACUAUCAGUCCUCACCAGAGGACUCUGUGGCCAUAAAAAGAGUAAGGCUUCAGCAGCUCAACACAACUGACGCAGUCCUGCUAUCAGUUGCGAUAAGCACCUGGCAUCUGCCUACAAAGGCUCUGCCCACAUCAAAGACUCUUCCUUGCGAGACUGAGGGACUGCCCAGGCCAAGCCAGGAGAUUCUUUUUGUCUUCGUUGUUCUCCCUGCAAUGGUUCAUUAACUCUUUUUUCUCUCCCUUUUCUCUUGAUGUUAAAUGUUACUUUGUGAGCUGUGGAAUGUUUAACAUGUAUAUAGUGACCACGUAUUCUAUUACAUAUGGUUUUCAGUAUUAACUGACUUGUGGAGUGGCUUGAGCCUGUGUGCCCGCUAUUCUCACUACCGAGUGAAUGGGA